ACGAGCGAAAGCUUAAACCUCAAACAAUGUGGCGGUGCCUUACUCCUCAUCAGGGGAUCCUGUGGCUUAAUUCGAUAAUCCACGAGAAUCUUAGCUACCCUCGUACUUCAGCUUGUGUAUGGCCGUUUAUGCUUGCUCGAAAAAGAAAAAAAAGGAAGCAAUAGAACUAACUACUCAAAAAUUCAGGUGACAUACAGCCAAUGAGAAGCAGACCCAUGGGAUACAAAUAAACAUACUAUACAAACUUAAAGUUUCAAACUUUAACGAAGGAGGACUUGAAAGUAAGACUUUCAACUUUACACAAAAUAAGUCUGAAUAAGAACUAAAGCGCGCACAAAUCGCCCGUCACUCCGACAACAAAGUAGGAUAAGUCGUAACAGGCAUAGGGGUA
rnacentral:rRNA from 1 species